CUACGGGAGGCAGCAGUGAGGAAUAUUGCACAAUGGGGGGAACCCUGAUGCAGCAACGCCGCGUGGAGGAUGACGCAUUUCGGUGCGUAAACUCCUUUUAUAUGUCAAGAAAAUGAUGGUAGCAUAUGAAUAAGCACCGGCUAACUCCGUGCCAGCAGCCGCGGUAAUACGGAGGGUGCAAGCGUUACUCGGAAUCACUGGGCGUAAAGGACGCGUAGGCGGGUUGGAAAGUCAGGUGUGAAAUCCUACAGCUUAACUGUAGAACUGCGCUUGAAACUUCUAAUCUAGAGUAUGGGAGGGGGAGAUGGAAUUAGUGGUGUAGGGGUAAAAUCCGUAGAUAUCACUAGGAAUACCUAAAGCGAAGGCGAUCUCCUGGAACAUUACUGACGCUAAGGCGUGAAAGCGUGGGGAGCAAACAGGAUUAGAUACCCGAGUAGUC
rnacentral:rRNA from 1 species